ensembl:lncRNA
CACUGUCGACCCGCGCGCUAGCUAGCAAGUUGCGAUACUCCGGGGCGGCGGCGCGGAGCCUGCGUCCAGGAGGCGCGGACUCUUAUUUUCCAGCCCAGUCCCUCUGGGGGGCGGGAGAGGAAGCACACAUCGUAUUUCCAUAAAGAGGGGCGGCGGAGGAGAAGUGGAAAGAGUUUAACAAGUCAAAUACAAAACUCAGGGGACUUCAUAAGCCUCAUGAUGGAGCUGUGAAUAGCAUCCCAUUAUUGAUUGGAAAUACUGCAUUGGAAUGCCGCGGAAGAGCCCCAAACCAAAACUUUUCAGAUGCCUGAAGCUGUGAGCUUUCCAAUUAGGCUGAAAGUUUCCCUUGAUAACCAGUAGUGCUGAAGCUUUUAAUAUUGUUUUGGCCUAUCAGUUCUUAGCACAAUUUUCUAGUUAUGAAGGCCAGCGGAUCACUCGGCGUCAGCGAGAUAGCUCAUCCAUCCCACUUGCACGCUUUCUGAUCAAAUAUGCUAUCUGAAAAAAAAGGAAUCUUCAGCUUCACGUAAAUCGAUCGUAAUUGGGAGCAGUUCGUCUUUCCUUCUUCAAUGCUAUCUCCUUCUGUGCAGCCUAUUUUGCAUCCAGAGAUACAUUUGAAAGUCGAAAUCCCUUGAAGCUAAAUAUUCUAAACUGACAGAAGAAUUUCUAGUGGCACACCAGCCUGGAGCCAUGUUUUUAUGAG